CCAGCAUAUUGACCUGCAUGUGUUGUAGGCAUUUUCAUAUCUAGUUGUCUCUGUCUGCAACUUUAAUCAAGAUCAAGUAUAGAUAGUGAUUAUAACACAGAGUUGCAUAAAGCAUCAAAUUGAUUUUACUUAGUGGCAUAUCUGUCACAUCAACUAAUAUUGAUCAUGUUGCUCAUCUCGUUUUCUUGGAAAUAUGCGUUUUUUGAGUUUGAAUUGACCAACUCAAUUUCAUUGUUGGCUUUCGCAAUUUUCCUUUUGAAAAAAAGGGAAACUGAGUCUCAUUCUUGUGAGUACAAGGUUUCAUAAACAAUAUCUUUCGGCUAAAAUAUAAUUGGAGACAUUCACAUGUCUUUUCUUUGGUUGAGUUCUGUAUCCAGAAGGCUCAGUUGUCCUCUUUUGAAUAUGUUCUGAAAUACUCGGAUAAUGUCAUUUUGUACAAUGUAUUAUGCUGUAUGCACAAUUUCGUCUGCCAGUUCUCUAAAAAUAAACCAGUUCUGUAAAGUACCUCUGAUACAUGCAAGAAGUAAAUUAUAAGAGGCAUAUUGAACGAAGCUGGAAUCCAUAAGGACCAUAACUUACUUUUCCAUCUGACGUAGAAAAAAGUUAGAGAGUGGCUAGGUCGUUUGGAUGAAUAAGUAAAUUGCACUCUUACUGUAGCUGCAUUUGAUUCUGAUAUCUUCAGCCUUUAUUAUGCAUCUUCAAAUAUUUUUUCUCUGAGGAACAAAUUUGUUAUUACUAAAAGCAAUCAUUAGAAAAUGUAGAUAUCUUAAUCUGUGAAUGUUAAGGUCACUGUUUCUAACUUUAAGAACAGAGGAUUUAUGAGGAGUUUCGCAUCAGAAUGGGUAAAAUAUGUGGCUUAUUAGGUUAAGUUUUUCCCACCCGUAGAAUGCACCCAGUGUUAUGAGAUAUCUUUCUAUAACAUAGGUGUCUUCAUCGAUUGUUUCAUUUCACAGAUUAGAACUCAAGUAAUCAAGUCCAAACUUACUUGUUUACCCAUGCCAUAGGAGUUUGGCGUUGUGUAUGACACCGUUUGCUACUGAGAGAAUUUUGCAGGGAACUACUCUCUGAUGAUGGAUGGGAAGUUCUGAAUUAUUUUUUGGAAGGGUGUACUAGUGCACAAGGUCGCCCGCACUGUGGGGUCUAGGGAGGGGUUGAUAUACCUAGCCUUACUCCUGGUUUCCCAGAGAUGGGAAGUUGUGAAGGUAAACUCAAAAAAAAUAAAGUUGAAAAUAGCAUUUGUUUUGUGCAACAUUUAUUAAAUAUCUGUUCUCCAAGAACACGCAACAUAUCAGUCUUUUACUCAUAUCCAAUGUCGAUACUUACAGUAUACACUUCAUCUGAUGCGUUUUUUGUUGCUGAUAUCAAUCGUUGCAUGAUCUUCCAGCACUUUUGACUAUGUUAAAAUGUUUCAGUAUAGAAAUUAUUGGAUUAUCCAACCCAUGUGUUUGUCUUCAGAAUAUUUUUGUGUCCACCGUUAUUGCUUUCCCAAGUGAAGUUUCAACUCUCUGAAUAUCUCCGUGAGAAGCAGUUGGAAGCAGAAGCUAUCAAGAGCCAACAUCAGAGAAGCAAUGCAGUAUACUUCUCUCCAUAUGAGAAGAAAGUUGCGAUCCGUGUGACUCUUGCGGCCUCAUGGUUAAUACUGUAAGCGAGAUUAAAGAUUAUAAGAAAAAAAAGAUCGCCCGAAAAAGCUGUUGGAGCGAUGAGAUACGAGCUCCCGAAGUUUCGCCUGUUCAAACUUCUUGCAAUAGGACAAAUAUCAGGAGACAUACUCUAAUAGCUUGAUUCCUCAUAUUUUCUAUAGAUUUCACUUUUUCCACGGGAUUCCGCUCAGAGCAUGGAAACUACGAACUUGUGAUUUCGACUCGAGCGGAAUUUCUACAAAUUGGAAUGCGCGGUUUCCUACAUUCGAUUUAUUAAUCAGGAACACCAUGAGCUGAGUUAAUUAGUAUUUGCUCAGCAGGGUUGCAAUGGUGGCAA